rnacentral:rRNA from 1 species
UACUCAGCAGUAAUUAACAUUAAGCAAUAAGUGAAAACUUGACUUAGUUAUAGCGACCUCACAGGGCCGGUAAAUCUUGUGCCAGCCACCGCGGUCAUACAAGAGGCCCAAACUAACAGUAAUCGGCGUAAAGCGUGGUAAUAUGUUAUCCAACUAAACUAAGACCAAAAUACAACUAAGCCGUCAUAAGCUCAAGAUGCCCCUAAAACCUUCAUAAAUAUGAUCUUAGCACCCACGACCAAUUUCAACCCACGAAAGCUAAGGCACAAACUGGGAUUAGAUACCCCACUAUGCUUGGUCCUAAAUCUAGAUACUUACCCUACACAAGUAUCCGCCUGAGAACUACGAGCACAAACGCUUAAAA